rnacentral:lncRNA from 1 species
CAUUUAAAAAGAAACUCACUUCUACAGGGAAGAUGUGGCUCUCAUUAUAUAUUAUCACCUCACCUUUCAUAGAUUUUCAGAAGAAGAAAUUGUUCACUUUUCCUUAAUUCAGCCAUAAGAAAACUAUAAAACUUGUAACUGUGUUUGGAUUUUAUGAACGAUCCACCUGUUUGAGAAUUCCUUGGUCAUAGCUAUAGAUGUUGACCGAUUUACUCAGAGGCUCAGUCUCUGCAUGAAUCUGUUGGAAGCAGCCAUUUCUGAAGCUGUGUGCCUCUCUCCUAAAAUUGCCUCACCCAGGGGUCCGUCCUCACUAUCCUCACAAACACCCC